CUGGUUUACCGCCACGGGAGGGCUGGUUUACUGCCGUGGGAGGGCUGGCUGAACAACCUGAAUUUAAUAACUGUACUACUGCUGGAUUAUUGAUUCCUGAACUCUGGAACCGGUAACGUGUCCGUUACUGUGGUAACAUGACUGAAUCCUCUAGAGAUCAUAUGACGGCUUGCUGUGAAGUCACGUCUGUGAAACCGUCCUGAUGAACAGUUUCAUCCAGAGACGCGGUGACGUGAAGAAACCGUGUCAGGAAUGGGAAUCCAUUGUAAGCGACGUAGAAACGAGAAGGACGCGGAUUCAGCGUGAAUUUGAACUUGAAAAACUUGCAGGAACCCUGGCUGGCUGGUUUCAUCGCGGGGAAGCGUCAGGAGGUCGAACCGCAGCGACGCUGCGACAUUAUAGCAGCUAAGCUGCUGUUACAUGGUCUACAGACACGGUGCAUCAGGUUCUAAAUCUUUAUUUACACCUAGGUAGGUGAGCAGUUACAGGACGGGGUGGCAGAUAGACCACCUUCACGUAGAACAGCAGUUUUUCCUGAGGAAAUCCAGUCGCUGUUGGGUUUGUUCAGCAGGACUGGUAGGAGGUCUAGAUAGAGGUCCAGGUAGGAGGUCCAGGUAGGAGGUCUAGAUAGAGGUCCAGGUAGUAGGUCUGGUUAGGAGGUCCAGGUAGGAGGUCUAGAUAGAGGUCCAGGUAGUAGGUCUGGUUAGGAGGUCCAGGCAGGAGGUCUAGAUAGAGGUCCAGGUAGGAGGUCCACGUAGGUCUGGUUAGGAGUUCUAGGUAGGAGGUCCAGGUAGAGGUCUAGAUAGAGGUCCAGGUAGGAGGUCUAGAUAGAGGUCCAGGUAGGAGGUCCAGUAGGAGGUCCAGGUAGGAGGUCUAGAUAGA